rnacentral:tRNA from 1 species
GCCGCGGUGGCGGAAUUGGCAGACGCGCAGGAUUUAGGAUCCUGUUCCUUUUGGAGUGUGGGUUCAACUCCCACCCGCGGCA